GAAAUGAUAAUAGAGGAAGGUGCCAAGCGCAAAUCUUCUCUCUUCCAUUGCAUUUUGAAUUAGUUUAUACUGUCUCAUAUAGUUUAGAUUGUCUCCAAUGGUUUCUUGGUGUUGAAGAAAUGAUGACAUUGGCAUAAGUAUUAGUGAUUAGAUUCUUCUCCAUCACCCUAUAUUAUGGCAUUAUUUCCUUAAUGACAAAGUUUGUGUUGCUGACCUG
rnacentral:misc_RNA from 1 species